rnacentral:rRNA from 1 species
CGCUGGCGGCGUGCCUAACACAUGCAAGUCGAGCGAGGAGAUCCUCGGGAUGAUCCUAGCGGCGGACGGGUGAGUAACACGUGGGCAACCUGCCUCAUAGAGAGGAAUAGCCUUCCGAAAGGGAGAUUAAUACCUCAUAACAUUGCAGUUUCGCAUGGAACAGCAAUUAAAGGAGUAAUCCGCUAUGAGAUGGGCCCGCGGCGCAUUAGCUAGUUGGUGAGGUAACAGCUCACCAAGGCGACGAUGCGUAGCCGACCUGAGAGGGUGAUCGGCCACAUUGGGACUGAGACACGGCCCAGACUCCUACGGGAGGCAGCAGUGGGGAAUAUUGCACAAUGGGGGAAACCCUGAUGCAGCCAACGCCGCGUGAGUGAUGACGGCCUUCGGGUUGUAAAGCUCUGUCUUCAGGGACGAUAAUGACGGUACCUGAGGAGGAAGCCACGGCUAACUACGUGCCAGCAGCUGC